AUGCAGCAGCCGCAGCCGCAGGGGCAGCAGCAGCCUGGGCCGGGGCAGCAGCUGGGGGGCCAGGGGGCGGCGCCGGGGGCCGGGGCCCUGUCUGAGGCGGGAGCUGAAGCUGCUCGAGUCCAUCUUCCACCGCGGCCACGAGCGCUUCCGCAUUGCCAGCGCCUGCCUGGACGAGCUGAGCUGCGAGUUCCUGCUGGCUGGGGCCGGAGGGGCCGGGGCGGGGGCCGCGCCCGGACCGCAUCUCCCCUCACGGGGGUCGGUGCCUGGGGAUCCCGUCCGCAUCCACUGCAACAUCACGGAGUCAUACCCUGCGGUGCCCCCCAUCUGGUCAGUGGAGUCCGAUGACCCUAACUUGGCUGCUGUCUUGGAGAGGCUGGUGGACAUAAAGAAAGGGAAUACUCUGCUAUUGCAGCAUCUGAAGAGGAUCAUCUCCGACCUGUGUAAACUCUAUAACCUCCCUCAGCAUCCAGAUGUGGAGAUGCUGGAUCAGCCCUUGCCAGCCGAGCAGUGUACACAGGAAGACGUGUCUUCAGAAGAUGAAGAUGAAGAGAUGCCUGAGGACACAGAAGACCUAGAUCACUAUGAAAUGAAAGAAGAAGAGCCAGCUGAGGGCAAGAAAUCUGAAGAUGAUGGCAUCGGAAAAGAAAACUUGGCCAUACUAGAGAAAAUUAAAAAGAACCAGAGGCAAGAUUACUUAAAUGGUGCGGUAUCUGGCUCGGUGCAGGCUACUGACCGGCUGAUGAAGGAGCUCAGGGAUAUAUACCGAUCACAGAGUUUCAAAGGUGGAAACUAUGCAGUCGAACUCGUGAAUGACAGUCUGUAUGAUUGGAAUGUCAAACUCCUCAAAGUUGACCAGGACAGCGCUUUGCACAACGAUCUCCAGAUCCUCAAAGAGAAAGAAGGAGCCAACUUCAUCCUACUUAACUUUUCUUUUAAAGAUAACUUCCCCUUUGACCCGCCGUUUGUCAGGGUUGUGUCUCCAGUCCUCUCUGGAGGGUAUGUUCUGGGUGGAGGUGCCAUCUGCAUGGAACUUCUCACUAAGCAGGGCUGGAGCAGUGCCUACUCAAUAGAGUCAGUGAUUAUGCAGAUCAGUGCCACACUGGUGAAGGGAAAAGCACGAGUGCAGUUUGGAGCCAACAAAUCUCAAUACAGCCUGACAAGAGCACAGCAGUCCUACAAGUCCUUGGUGCAGAUCCACGAAAAAAAUGGCUGGUACACACCCCCAAAGGAAGAUGGCUAACCCAGGAGUGCCAUUCCCUUCCUCCUUCCCCAGGCACCACUGGACCAAUUACCUUUGAAUGCUGUAUUUGGAUCUCACGCUGCCUCUGUGGUUCCCUCCCUCAUUCUUCCUAGACGUGAUAGCUCUGCCUAUUGCAGGACAAUGAUGGCUAUUCUAAACGCUAAGGAAAAAAAAAACAAAAAACACACACAGAACUGUUUCAAGUACUCAAGACUGACUUACAGACCAACCAACCACCUGGCUGGAACCGUUGCUAGCAGGCAUUCUUAUAAAAGAAACUUUCGAGCCUCCUUAUAUUGCUGAAAACUCAGCUGUGCUCCAGACUAGAGCCUCCUUACCUAUGCUAUGGAUUUUUAAUUUAUUUUCUCUUAUUUCAUGUACACUGCUUUUUUUGGUUACAGUGUAUGAUGGAUGUGUAUGAAAAAAAAUGUAUCUUUGGGAAAACAAUUACAGUUUGCUAAUUUGAAAAAAAAAAAA